UACGUAGGGACCAAGCGUUGUUCGGAUUUACUGGGCGUAAAGGGCGCGUAGGCGGCAUAUUAAGUCUGCUGUGAAAUCUCCGAGCUUAACUCGGAACUGUCAGCUGAUACUGAUGUGCUAGAGUGCAGAAAGGGCAAUCAGAAUUCUUGGUGUAGCGGUGAAAUGCGUAGAUAUCAAGAGGAAUACCUGAGGCGAAGGCGGGUUGCUAGGCUGACACUGACGCUGAGGCGCGAAAGCCAGGGGAGCAAACGGG
rnacentral:rRNA from 1 species